rnacentral:rRNA from 1 species
AACGAACGCUGGCGGCAUGCCUAACACAUGCAAGUCGAACGAGACCUUCGGGUCUAGUGGCGCACGGGUGCGUAACGCGUGGGAACCUGCCCUUAGGUUCGGACUAACUCCCCGAAAGGGGUGCUAAUACCGGAUAAUGUCUUCGGACCAAAGAUUUAUCGCCUUUGGAUGGGCCCGCGUUGGAUUAGCUAGUUGGUAGGGUAAAAGCCUACCAAGGCGACGAUCCAUAGCUGGUCUGAGAGGAUGAUCAGCCACACUGGGACUGAGACACGGCCCAGACUCCUACGGGAGGCAGCAGUGGGGAAUAUUGGACAAUGGGCGAAAGCCUGAUCCAGCAAUGCCGCGUGAGUGAUGAAGGCCGUAGGGUUGUAAAGCUCUUUUACCCGGGAUGAUAAUGACAGUACCGGGAGAAUAAGCUCCGGCUAACUCCGUG